rnacentral:rRNA from 1 species
GACGAACGCUGGCGGCGUGCUUAACACAUGCAAGUCGAACGGAAAGGCCCUGCUUUUGUGGGGUGCUCGAGUGGCGAACGGGUGAGUAACACGUGAGUAACCUGCCCUUGACUUUGGGAUAACUUCAGGAAACUGGGGCUGAUACCGGAUAGGAGCUCCUGCUGCAUGGUGGGGGUUGGAAAGUUUCGGCGGUUGGGGAUGGACUCGCGGCUUAUCAGCUUGUUGGUGGGGUAGUGGCUUACCAAGGCUUUGACGGGUAGCCGGCCUGGGAGGGUGAACGGCCACAUUAGGACUGAGGGACGGCCCAGUAUGCAACGGGAGGCAGCAGUGGGGAGUAUGGCACAGUGGGCGGAAGCCUGAUGCAGCGACGCCGCGUGCGGAAUGACGGCCUUCGGGUUAUAAACCGAUUUCGCCUGUGACGAAGCGUGAGUGACGGUAAUGGGUAAAGAAGCACCGGCUAACUACGUG